ACCAGAAGGGAAACUGGGAAGCUGGAGGAGAAGGGGAGAGGGCCCUGCUUUCCCUAGACAAAAGACAAAGCCUUUUGCUUCUACUAUAAAUAGGACACCUGAGUCAAUUAUGUCCCUGUUCCAGUGAUGGAACUCAGCAUAUUUCUAAGGAGCAGAGAAUUCAGAAACUCCCAUGGGCCUCCCACAGCUGGAAUCUAAAACAACCACAGAAGUCUCAGAAAAGAGAAUAUAAAAGCAUACAACAAAAUAAAGGAGUCAUAAGAGUACAGGGAUCCCAUACAUGAAGUUGAAGAGUGUUCGGUUUUAAUUAUUCACAAUUAUCAUUUGUAUAAUUGUAGGCAUUGGCCGUGGAACCCCAAGUCUCCAGCCAUGUCCAGUUCUCUGCAGGCACUGAAUAUAUGUGCUAAGGCAAGCCAUCUGCAGCUGCUGCUGGAAGGGAGGCACAGAUCCAACAGUUAGAAACCUUGGUCACCUCCGCAUAGGUGUGGGGCCAGUCCACAAUGCAGUUGGAGCAUGUUAACCUAUGGUUGAAAUGACAGAGAAGACACAGCUGCUUCAGCGCCUUCUCCGUGCUUGCUGGGAACCAUCUACCUCCACUCAGGUUUCCACUGAGGCCCAUCCCAGCAGCACAGCUGCCACCGGGUACCACAACCCAUGUUGCAGCCACAUGGCUGACCCAGAACUAGCAGGGUAUGAAGGCUCACUCACCUCGGGACCCUGUUCGUGAUGCCAAUUGUCAGGUUCUAACUGAAGUCUGAGGGGAGUUGGUCGGCGAGUGGCAGUUGGCUUGGAAUUACAAUCAGGAGAAAGGAAUGUUCUUUUGCUAAUGAAUGAGGAGAAAUUGGCAAUGUUCCAAUCCCAAGUCUAGACCUUGGGAGGCUUGCACUUUGCCAAAUUAUGAUCCCCUUCUCAGCUUCUGCUCCUUCAGCAUGGAUACUAUCAUGAACACACGGAAAAUGGCCUGCCCUAUUUAAUCCCAGCCAAACCAAACCCAGGUGCAAAGUAGAGUCACACAGCCAAACCCACCCUACACCAACAAUUCCCAAUUGAUCUGUAUCCAUGAGAAUAAAUGACUGUGGUUUU